CAUGCAAGUCGAACGCUGAAGCUCACAGCUUGCUGGGGUGGAUGAGUGGCGAACGGGUGAGUAACACGUGAGUAACCUUCCCUUGACUCUGGGAUAAGCCCGGGAAACUGGGUCUAAUACCGGAUACGACUUCCUGCCGCAUGGUAUGGGGGUGGAAAGAUUUAUCGGUCUUGGAUGGACUCGCGGCCUAUCAGCUUGUUGGUGAGGUAAUGGCUCACCAAGGCGACGACGGGUAGCCGGCCUGAGAGGGUGACCGGCCACACUGGGACUGAGACACGGCCCAGACUCCUACGGGAGGCAGCAGUGGGGAAUAUUGCACAAUGGGCGCAAGCCUGAUGCAGCGACGCCGCGUGAGGGAUGACGGCCUUCGGGUUGUAAACCUCUUUCAGUAGGGAAGAAGCGAAAGUGACGGUACCUGCAGAAGAAGCGCCGGCUAACUACGUGCCAGCAGCCGCGGUAAUACGUAGGGCGCGAGCGUUAUCCGGAAUUAUUGGGCGUAAAGAGCUCGUAGGCGGUUUGUCGCGUCUGCCGUGAAAGUCCGGGGCUUAACCCCGGAUCUGCGGUGGGUACGGGCAGACUAGAGUGCAGUAGGGGAGACUGGAAUUCCUGGUGUAGCGGUGAAAUGCGCAGAUAUCAGGAGGAACACCGAUGGCGAAGGCAGGUCUCUGGGCUGUUACUGACGCUGAGGAGCGAAAGCAUGGGGAGCGAACAGGAUUAGAUACCCUGGUAGUCCAUGCCGUAAACGUUGGGCACUAGGUGUGGGGGACAUUCCACGUUUUCCGCGCCGCAGCUAACGCAUUAAGUGCCCCGCCUGGGGAGUACGGCCGCAAGGCUAAAACUCAAAGGAAUUGACGGGGGCCCGCACAAGCGGCGGAGCAUGCGGAUUAAUUCGAUGCAACGCGAAGAACCUUACCAAGGCUUGACAUGUUCCCGACCGGGCCAGAGAUGGUCUUCCCCUUUGGGGCGGGUUCACAGGUGGUGCAUGGUUGUCGUCAGCUCGUGUCGUGAGAUGUUGGGUUAAGUCC
rnacentral:rRNA from 1 species